GGAGGGUGCAAGCGUUAUCCGGAUUCACUGGGUUUAAAGGGUGCGUAGGAGGGUAGGUAAGUCAGUGGUGAAAUCUCCGGGCUCAACUCGGAAACUGCCGUUGAUACUAUCUAUCUUGAAUACCGUGGAGGUGAGCGGAAUAUGUCAUGUAGCGGUGAAAUGCUUAGAUAUGACAUAGAACACCGAUUGCGAAGGCAGCUCACUACACGAAUAUUGACUCUGAGGCACGAAAGCGUGGGGAUCAAACAGGAUUAGAUACCCUGGUAGUCCACGCCCUAAACUAUGGAUACUCGACAUACGCGAUACACUGUGUGUGUCUGAGCGAAAGCAUUAAGUAUCCCACCUGGGAAGUACGACCGCAAGGUUGAA
rnacentral:rRNA from 1 species